CCGCAUUGAAGAGAAGAGUUAUGUGGAUCUCACCGACAAUUGUACAUAAGCUACAUGACUCAUAUGCGUGUCAUAUUUUAUGGUGCAGUGUGUCCAUCCUACGUGGCAUCUCUUCACGAUCAAAUUUGUUUGGGCUUAGUUCGCGGUCAAGCCGAGAGCACAAAAGCUGGUCAAGUUGACCCAGGUGGUGCGUGAAAGGCAUGGACAAGGGUUAACAUGUGAAUCCCACACAAAGAAACAGUUGCAAAUUGAGUGGAUAGUCACCAUUUUGAAGAGUAUGUGUGGACAUGGUGCAUUCCCCCUUGAAAGCUGCGAGAGAGACAUUGAGUUUUUUUUUUUUUAUGUAACCCUUAUCUAUUCAGAAUGAUUCCAUUCAUGGUAGUUAUUCGUUUGUAUUCAUCACAUCCAUCACAUCGAGAUAUGUGACUAUAGAUUCAUACAAUACAAUCCUGGUUGAGUUUGAGAGAAUUCUUACCAAUUCUUACCAAAUUCCCAGAUAUGAAUGGUUGAAUUGGAUUAACUUUGGAGUGUAAUUUCAUGUGUGAAAGCGACCUGAAUCGAUCUGAUAACAUUUGCAUUGAAUUGGAUUGGAUUAGGUUUAUGAAAUUCAAUUUAUGUCUGACUAAUCAACUUGAUUGCAUUCAGACAUCAUUUGACAAAUGAAAAAACAAAGAAAUAUCUUGUUUUACACAACUUUCUUAUGGUAUAUGGUUCGUGUAAGAAAAGGCAACAAUGUAUAUAUAUUGUAUACAUUUGUAGUGGUAGUUGUAAUCUUAAACGUGUCAGACUUCUGGUAUGGAAAGAAUUUAACUUUUUUCAAGUCUCCAUGUUUUUAAGAUAAACCCUAAACCUUUUGAAUUAUUAUAUGGUAUGGUUAUAGUUAUAGAUUAUGAUAGUUAGUUCUAGAAGAUUCCUGUGCAAAUUAUUGUAGAAUGGUGAUGUGCUAAUAAAAUUGAGAGUUUUAAGAUCCUAAGCUCAUGAAAACUGUUUUGUUGUAGAAGUUCACAAUCACAACACGCCUGGCACAGGGAAAUUUCUUCCAAUCUGUGAUGAUGAUUGUAGAAAAUUGGAUAUUCUCUUUUGUACCUUUUGGAUCCUUCCCUUUGACCCCACUUCUUCAAAGCAUAUUUUGGAUCUGAACUCAUGUAAGGUUGUUCAGUUUCUAGGGUUUAUUUUUCCUUUUGUUUUCUUCCUUCCUUGGCCAUGGAUUUGCCACUUCUUACAUUAAAUUACCACAUCUUACUCAUUCUGUGAUUUAAAAUUUUCAUUUGGUUACAUUAGGUUUGAUUAUUAUAAUCAUCAUUAGGUAUAACCUGAUAUCACUAUUUUGUUCCCUUUUCUUGUCUAUCAGGAUAUCAAAAAAUCAUUGAAAAUUUUC